CACCAAACAUGAUCCAAAGUCCAAACUAUACACAUGUCAUCUUAUAAUUGGAUAAUUAGCUAUAAUUAACUAUGUUUUCUUAUUUUUUUUAUUUUCAUUUUAGGUUUGCUUUUCCUUUUUCCUUUUUCCCCUUUCUCUUUCUUAUUCUUUUCUAUCCUCUCUCUUUCUUCAUUUCUAGAUCUGUCAAUAUGUUAUUUAGAUGGCGCGUUGCCAUUCUCUUUUUUUUUUUCUCCUUGAAAAAUAAAUUUGCUUGAUGAGUUUAAUAUUACACCUAAUAAAGUUGACCAAGUAUAUGUUCCCUCAGAUCUUUCCCCUUUCUAAAUCGAACUCCUCGAUCCUUUGUAAAAGCCAAGGAGAGAAAGAUUAACUUUGAUUAUUUUUUUUCUCAAAUUUGUUCUGCUUCAACAAACAUUGGCCGGAAAAAAACUUCGGAGCAAAAUCUCCAUUUUUCCAAUAGACAAUUUUAUUCUUUUUUUAUGGUGAGGAAGUAAUUUUAACGUUCUUCUUUCCGAUCUAAGUUUGUUCAUUCCUCCAUUUUUUCCGAUCGGCAAUUUUUUUAAGAGUUAAUUAGUGAAAACAAGGUGUGAAGAAAAAAAACGAGUGGAAAUUUAAAUUUUUAAUGAGCUGUUGACAUGGAGUUGACGUGGCGCGGCAGUAUAAUACACCUCAACCUCAUGAAUCUGGUUUUAUACUCUCAGGAAGUCUCAAAAGUCUGUGAAGAAUUAUUUUACCAAAGUUCCAAAAUCAAGUUUGGACUCUCAUGAUCAACCUAAUCUAGAAGAAAAUGUCAACCACUCAGAAGUACCAUUGCUUUCUUCUCAGGAAUUUGAUUUGAAUUCUUUAAAGCAUGAUCCGGGUGAAAGAACUCAAAUCUUGGACUUUCAUCCAAAUCAUCGUGAUGUCAUUCGAAGAGAAUACCUUAGGAGAGGUCCUUGUCAACCUCGGCUUAAAGAGUAUCCUAAAACAAAAGUUUCUAGAGACAUGCGUCGUUUUAAUCCUCAAUGGUUUAGUGAGUAUUCUAAUUGGUUAGAGUAUAGUGAAAGUAAAGAUGCAGUCUUUUGUUUGAAUUGUUAUCUAUUUGCAAACGAUAAUAUUCAUCAAGGAGGGGGUGAUGUAUUUUCGGCCAUAGGGUUUAGGAGUUGGCAAAAAAAAGAAGAGUCUUAAAAAACAUGUUGGUGGCGGAAAUAGCAUUCAUAAUCAGGCAAGAAAGAAUUGUGAAGAUCUAGUGCGACAAGAACAAUCUAUUCAAUCUGCACUUGUGAGGCAAGAUUCUCAAUUUAAGCAUGAGUAUUGGCUCCGCUUAACUGCUUCAGUUGAUGUUGUAAGGCUUCUUUUGAAUCAAGGAUUGGCAUUUCAGUA